GUCACUCUAGUUUAAUUUAGAACGUUUGGUUUGCAUCUAAAUAGUGGAAGUCUCCGAGUGACA
rnacentral:tRNA from 1 species